AUGCCAUGUCGUGGGAAUAAAUCUAACAGUAGAGGUGUAGGGUACGAAUGGAGAAGGCAGAGUCCUAGCUACGACAAGUUUGUACGCAAGAUGUAUGAGUUCAGGCCUCUCUCGUAGAGGUAACAACCCUAUGUAUCAGUGCUCGGGAGCUCUUACAGUGUGGAAUGUGUGUUACAGGGGGUGCGAACCCUUGUGCCAGAGGGGAGGGGUGGAUUAUAUAGAGUGCGCUACCCCUCAUCAAGGCCCCGUCAUCUAAGGGUUCGAU
rnacentral:lncRNA from 1 species